rnacentral:rRNA from 1 species
UGGCGGACGGGUGAGUAACGCGUGGGUAACCUGCCCCAUACCGGGGGAUACCACCUGGAAACAGGUGCUAAUACCGCAUAAGCGCACGAAGGCGCAUGCCUUAGUGUGAAAAACUCCGGUGGUAUGGGAUGGACCCGCGUCUGAUUAGCCAGUUGGCAGGGUAACGGCCUACCAAAGCGACGAUCAGUAGCCGGCCUGAGAGGGUGGACGGCCACAUUGGGACUGAGACACGGCCCAAACUCCUACGGGAGGCAGCAG